AGUAUCAAAUUGUAGAUUGAACCUUGCGAAAGCGUUUAACUGUUAUUUUUAAGGAGUUAUAAAAUCUUUAAUAUAUAUUAACUAUAUUAUCAAGCUUAAUUUAUUACAAUAAUAAAAAAAAUGCCUCCUGUAAAAAGAACUAGACGGUGUAAUUUAUAUGGUGGUAGCCCUUCUGAUCUUCCUAUUACAGAUCUAGCAACUUAUGGUGAUGUAGCAAGAUUUUUCUACAAAUUAAAAGAUUUAGAUGGUAUUAAAGACAAAAAUAUUAUUAUUCAAAGAACGCUUUGUAGUUUAAAAGAAAUAUGGUUCAAUUGCAAUUCCAAAUUAGUUUUGUUACCUGAAAUAAGUUUGAUUGUUAAACUUUUAAGAUUUUAUAAUAAUGUUAUUUCUUGGAAUGGAAAUAAAAUUAAACCUUUGACCAAAAAAUUGUUGGAAAAAAAUAAAGAAAAACUUUUUGAUCUGCUAGCAUGUAACUGCAAGCUUGAAGUUCUUCCUUGUGAUGACGGGAAUAUCAAAUGCUCAGGUUGUUCAAAUGUGCAUCUUUACUGUAGUUGUAUUGGUAGUAAAAAAGUUCCUUUGGAAGAGCGCUCCUAUAUAAAAGACCAAAGGGAGAAAAUUGGUACUAAAGAAAAGUUUCAAAUAGGAGGUAUUGAUAACUCUGUUUUAUCACCUACUUCAAGAAAAACAAAGCAAACAAAAGCUUCUGAUGAAGAAAUUUAUAUUAAAGAGUUUGACACAAUCAUGGAUUCAGAUCAGAGUGAAACUUCAAUUUCAUCAUUAAAUCAGACUAGAUCAAAGAACUAUAACACUACCCACUAUCCCAAAUUUGCUUUAGAGGUAAUUAGAUAUGGAAUAUCAGAUGAAGCAGCUGCCGCUGUAGCUAAUGCUCUACUUCAAGAUAUUGGUUAUCUACAUCUAAAUGAUGUAAUUGAUCCAAGUAAAAUGAAAAGAGAGAAAGAACGAGUAUGCUUUAAUGCUAGUUUUGAGCAAUCUAAAGUUUCAAAUAUAAAAGCAAUUAGUUUGGAUAGCAAACGUAAUAAAAACUCAUUGGUUUAUGAACAGAGAGAUAUUGACGGUGAAAUAAAUCUUUGUAAAUCUACUAGCACUGUAGACCACUUGACAUUCACAAUUGAAUCAGGCGAGUUGCAAGGUCAAUAUCUAAAGCACAUAGAUGUACCUAAAGAAAAAGGUAAAGGAAAAGAUCUUGCUGAAUUUACCUGUAAUGUUCUCAAUGAGUUUAAGAGUGAUAAAAGUAUCCAGGCAAUAAUUUUGGACAAUACAAGUGUUAAUACAGGUAAAGAUAAUGGUUUAGUUGCUUGUCUUGAAAGAAUAUUGAAAAGAAGAAUUCAUUUAAUUAGCUGUCUUCUACAUGUUAACGAGACCAGUUGGAAAAUCUUUGACAAAUCCAAUUCAUUUAAAUUUAACUUUUGACUUCAUACAAGUUAAGACAGACAUUGAAUAUCCCCUCUGUGUGUCAUUAAAGACCUCUCUGCUGACCAGAGAAUGCUACUGGAAUAUAGUAUUGGAAUUUCUAGAGGGUUUUCAGACAAUAAGUAUCUGAGAAAAAAAAUAGGCCCUAUUUGUCAUGCAAGGUGACAACAGCAGUACGGAUCUUGGCACUAUACACAAGAACAAUCAAUCCCAGUAGAGAGCUCAAAAUCUUUGUUGAAUAUAUUCAAACAGUAUAUACUCCUAUGUGGUUUAAUAUUAAAAAGUCUAAGAGUUUCACAGAGGGUCCUAAACUUAUUUUCCAAUUUAUUCAGCGGAUUUUGAGGUUGGAUACUGAAGUUCAAAAUAUUACAUUGCCCAUAAUUUAUAGAAACUCUUUUUGUCUCCAACCUGAAAAUUUUAUUGCUGCUCUACUUUAUUCUGAAGAACAGGUUUAUAGAACAAUUGCUGUUGUUAAGAUUUUGGAAACAAGAAAAACUCUAAUUAAGGAUCCUAAAAAUGGAUUAAAAGAUGGUAUUAGGGUUAAUGCCAUUCCAAUUAUUGAUUGUAGAUGUAAAAACUGGUCAAAAUUAAUAAAUCUGUAUGAUAUAGACUGUUUUGAGCCCCCUUGUGUGGAAGAUAUAUUAAAUGAGGAGCUUUUGAAUAUGAUACCGAAUCAGGGAAAGGCUCCCAACUUUCCGUGCCACUCGCAAACGGUCGAAAGAGCAGUGAAAAUGACUUCUGAUGCUAGCGGAAAAUUUAUUAACCUAGAGAAAAAAAAUGCUUAUAUUCUAGCUAAAUGCCAAAGUCAAAAGAAACGAAAAUAUUUUAGAACAUAGAAAGAUUAUACAUUGUAAUUUGUUAUCAUUUCUUUAAAUUAAUCUAUUUGGUAAUA
rnacentral:misc_RNA from 1 species